GCUCUUCUGUGGAAAAAAACAGAGGCAAUUAAUUCACUCAGGUGCGAGUGGGUAUACUGUCGUGUGACCACGAAUUUUAAUAGAAGAAUUGAUCAAGCCCUAGAUCGACUGCGCGCAGGGAAACUGAUCAAUAUUAUCACAGGCCAUACAUAGCACUGAUUCCCAGCUGCGCUGAGACCCGAAUUGUUUGCAGUGUGUGCCACGAUUGCAGUGUCGCUAAGCGGGGUGUGACGGG